GUGCCAGCAGCCGCGGUAAUACGUAGGUGGCAAGCGUUGUCCGGAUUUAUUGGGCGUAAAGGGAGCGCAGGCGGUGACUUAAGUCUGAUGUGAAAGCCCACGGCUCAACCGUGGAAGGUCAUUGGAAACUGGGUCACUUGAGUGCAGAAGAGGAAAGUGGAAUUCCAUGUGUAGCGGUGAAAUGCGUAGAUAUAUGGAGGAACACCAGUGGCGAAGGCGACUUUCUGGUCUGUAACUGACGCUGAGGCUCGAAAGCGUGGGGAGCAAACAGGAUUAGAU
rnacentral:rRNA from 1 species